GGAUGUGGAAGAUUACCACCUCACAGUGUUCCUGCCUUCACCACAAGCUGUAUCUCGUCCGCCCGAUUCUUCUCUGCCAACAAUCCAUUCCAAAACCUGCAAGGUUUGCUGGAUUCCUGAAGAUGCACACACUUUCACAACCUUAUCCAUCAUGAGACAGCAAGUGUCAGGAAGGAUUAGCUAUACUAGGAUGACUACAGAGUGGACUACAGCAAUGCCCGGGAUCAAAUGUUGAUUGACCAUAAUAUUCAAGUGAGGGUAGCCAGUGCAUUAUUCCACAAGAAGUUUGUCAUCCUUUGUGAAGUGUUUAAGGUCCCAACGACAAGGGUAAGCUUUGAUUGGUAAACCUUGCCUCUCUGCAAGCUAAACCUGUUGUCUGCAUUGAUGCUGCUAUCCAAAUGAGGUUAGUUGGGCAAUCAGAGCCUGGCAACAACUGGAACAGGAUCUCUUCAACGUUGAUUUCACAGAAGUGCUGAUUCAUGUUUACAUUUUACUUAUGCUGCUGCCAAUUUGUUGUAAGUGUACAGUAAUUUAUCUAAUUGCUGCAGUGUGUCACAGUUUCUGUUCACCUCCUGUCUCACAUCCCACAGAGAUGGGUACUGUCAACACAACUGUAUCAGUCUCUCAGUUAAUUCUCGAGACCAAUGUUCCUUGGACAUGUCUGACUGUUGAUGGUGGGACACAAGAACCGACAGGUCUUGGGUCCUGCCGCACACUUUCAGUUCGUGCAUCUGGUAGCACCUUCAUGCCACACUCACUGCCCGACUGUAACAAGCUUCACACAAAGCCUCAAUACUUCUCUGAACAUUAAGGAAAACUUAUUCAAAGCUUUGCCUGCUGUUUCUCUUUUUCUUACAUCACAUGGUGUGGUCGGGCCUAGAAAAGAGAGUAUAUGGAACCAGAUAUUGUGCACUGAGCAGUUAAUAUUAUUACUUGAUACUGAAGUAUGUUGAGUAAAAUAUUCUACUUCUAAACUUAUCAAGUAGCGGUAAAAACAAAAAUAAUAAUGAACACUG